rnacentral:lncRNA from 1 species
GAUGAAUUGUAACAUAUGGCUAUCUUCUUCAAUGUGCAGCCUAAGAACAAAAAAGUGUUUCAGUUAAUCAAGCUUUUUGAAACCAUCUUUCAAUUUGUCAUUUGGGGCUCAGUAAAAACUAGCUUCAAGUUGCCAGGGCCAGGUGUGAAGUUCCUUUGUAAAUACAGCCGGCAUCCAGCUGCUUUGUUAUGUGCCUAUUUACAUAACUGACAGUCUCAACAUUCGGGCCAGGACUGUAGGCAAUCUAGGCCUACUAUCCACACUUUGCACUUUCCUUUGGCUGAACGUGUACAGCAUAAGGACCACAGUUAAUGCUUCACUGAAUACUGGAUGAUUUCUGAGAGAUCAGAUUUUACAUGCUUUUAC